rnacentral:misc_RNA from 1 species
GAAAUGCGAUAAGUAGUGUGAAUUGCAGAAUUCAGUGAAUCAUCGAAUCUUUGAACGCACAUUGCGCCCCCUGGUAUUCCGGAGGGCAUGCCCGUUUCAGAAUCAUUAAGUAUCUCACACUGACCUUGGUAUUGCGGUGCCAGGUAAUGUGUGGACGUUGGACGGCUUUGCCCUGCCUUUGGUCGGGUGCAAUCCUCUGAAAAUGAUUGUUCGUGCUGCCGACUUUGUCGGUCUGCCUUCAAAGUGCAACAGAGAUAAUCUAUUCGCGUUGAGGCAGGUUGAAUGAAGCGGAUGGUACGUACUCCAAACCACCUUUUAACGGUUGGACAUCGCCACUGUGCGAGGUCCUUCUGAUGACUUGGUCUGAAAUCGGGCAAGAAAACCCGCUGAACUUAA